ACAGUGGUGCCCCGCAAGACGAAUGCCUCGCAAGACGAAAGGGUUUUCCGUUUUUUGAGUCGUUCCGCAAGACGAAUUUCCCUAUGGGCUUGCUUCGCAAGACGAAACGUCUUGCGAGUUUGUUUCCUUUUUCUUAAAGCCGCUAAGCCGUUAAUAGCCGCUAAUAGCCGUGCUUCGCAAGACGAAAAAACCGCAAGACGAAGAGACUCGCGGAACGGAUUAAUUUCGUUUUGCGAGGCACCACUGUACCACUGUAAUCGUCAAAUUUUAAGAUUCUAGCCAAUAUAUCUUCCUGUGCACAAGACUGCCCUGGUAUCCCCCUCUCUUUCAGCUCUGACAGUCUUUUAGCUUCAUCACCAACAAGAUAUGGAGGUAGUGAACAGCUGAGCAAAACAGUACAGCGGUACCUUGGUUCUCAAACGCCUUGGUACUCAAGCAACUUGGAACCCAAACACUGCAAAUCCGGAAGUAAGUGUUCUGGUUUGUGACCUUUUUUUGGAAGCAGAACAUGCUCCGUUUUGAGUGUUAUGCUUCCAAUUUGAGUGCCACACUCUCAUUUUGAGUGUUACACUGAGGUCUGUCUGUUUUUGCUAUUUAUUUUGCAUUUUUCUUUUUGCGGCUCUUUUUGUUCGUUUUUGUGACUGUGUGGAACCCAGUUCAGCUACUGAUUGAUUGAUUGAUUGAUUGUGUGACUGCAGCACAUUGUUUACUGCUUUCAAUUUAUGGAUCAGUGGUCUCCUUAGAUAGUAAAAUUCAUGUUAAA